AGAGUUUGAUCAUGGCUCAGGAUGAACGCUAGCUACAGGCUUAACACAUGCAAGUCGAGGGGCAGCAUGAUCGAAGCUUGCUUUGAUUGAUGGCGACCGGCGCACGGGUGAGUAACGCGUAUCCAACCUUCCCUGUAGUAGAGGAUAGCCCGGCGAAAGUCGGAUUAAUACUCUAUGUUGUAUUUUGAGGACAUCUGAAGAAUACCAAAGGUUUACCGCUAUAGGAUGGGGAUGCGUCUGAUUAGGUUGUUGGCGGGGUAACGGCCCACCAAGCCCACGAUCAGUAGGGGUUCUGAGAGGAAGGUCCCCCACAUUGGAACUGAGACACGGUCCAAACUCCUACGGGAGGCAGCAGUGAGGAAUAUUGGUCAAUGGGCGGAAGCCUGAACCAGCCAAGUAGCGUGCGGGAUGAGGGCUCUACGGGUUGUAAACCGCUUUUGCGCGGGGAUAAAGAGAGGCACGUGUGCCUCGUUGCAGGUACCGCGCGAAUAGGGACCGGCUAAUUCCGUGCCAGCAGCCGCGGUAAUACGGAAGGUCCGGGCGUUAUCUGGAUUUAUUGGGUUUAAAGGGAGCGCAGGCGGGAUGUCAAGUCAGCCGUUAAACGGCUCGGCUCAACUGGGUCUUGCGGUUGAAACUGGCGUCCUUUGGGUUCACAAAAGGCAGGCGGAACUCGUGGUGUAGCGGUGAAAUGCAUAGAUAUCACGAAGAAMCYCUGAUUGCGAAGGCAGYCUGYCGGRGUGCUACCGACGCUCAUGCUCGAAGGCGCGGGUAUCAAACAGGAUUAGAUACCCUGGUAGUCCGCGCAGUAAACGAUGGAUGCCCGCGGUGCGGCCUAUAUGGUUACGCCGCCAAGCGAAAGCGUUAAGCAUCCCACCUGGGGAGUACGCGGGCAACGGUGAAACUCAAAGGAAUUGACGGGGGCCCGCACAAGCAGCGGAGCAUGUGGUUUAAUUGGACGCAACGCGAAGAACCUUACCAGGUCUUGACAUCCAGUAAAAGCCAUAGAGAUAUGGUGUGAGCUUGCUCAUACUGAGACAGGUGGUGCAUGGUUGUCGUCAGCUCGUGUCGUGAGAUGUUGGGUUAGGUCCCGCAACGAGCGCAACCCUUAUUUUCAGUUACUAACAGGUAAAGCUGAGGACUCUGAAGAGACUGCCGGGGACAACUCGGAGGAAGGUGGGGACGACGUCAAAUCAUCAUGCCCCUUAUGACCUGGGCUACACACGUGCUACAAUGGCCACCACAGAGAGGAGCGAACCCGUAAGGGGGAGCGGAUCUCAAAAAAGUGGUCCCAGUUCGGAUUGUGGGCUGCAACCCGCCCACAUGAAGUCGGAAUUGCUAGUAAUCGCGGAUCAGCAUGCCGCGGUGAAUACGUUCCCGGGCCUUGUACACACCGCCCGUCACACCAUGGGAGUUGGGAGUGCCCAAAGUCGGUGAGGUAACCGCAAGGAGCCAGCCGCCUAAGGCAAGACCAAUGACUGGGGGGAAGUCGUAACAAGGUAGCCGUA
rnacentral:rRNA from 1 species